ACUGCUCAGUAACACGUGGACAACCUACCCUUGGGACGGGGAUAAACCCGGGAAACUGGGUAUAAUACCCGAUAGUCCUCGACUGCUGGAAUGCAUCGAGGUCGAAAGCUCCGGUGCCCAAGGAUGGGUCUGCGGCCUAUCAGGUAGUAGUGGGUGUAGCGUACCUACUAGCCUACGACGGGUACGGGUUGUGAGAGCAAGAGCCCGGAGAUGGAUUCUGAGACACGAAUCCAGGCCCUACGGGGUGCAGCAGGCGCGAAAACUUUACAAUGCUGGAAACAGCGAUAAGGGAACCUCGAGUGCCAGGUUACAAAUCUGGCUGUCGUGAUGCCUAAAAAGCAUUGCAUAGCAAGGGCCGGGCAAGACCGGUGCCAGCCGCCGCGGUAACACCGGCGGCUCGAGUGGUAACCGUUAUUAUUGGGUCUAAAGGGUCUGUAGCCGGCCGGAUAAGUCUCUUGGGAAAUCUGGCAGCUUAACUGUCAGGCUUUCAGGAGAUACUGUCUGGCUCGAGGCCGGGAGAGGUGAGAGGUACUUCAGGGGUAGGGGUGAAAUCUUGUAAUCCUUGAAGGACCACCAGUGGCGAAGGCGUCUCACCAGAACGGACCUGACGGCAAGGGACGAAAGCUAGGGGCACGAACCGGAUUAGAUACCCGGGUAGUCCUAGCCGUAAACGAUACUCGCUAGGUGUCGGCCGCGGUGCGACCGUGGUCGGUGCCGUAGGGAAGCCGUGAAGCGAGCCACCUGGGAAGUACGGCCGCAAGGCUGAAACUUAAAGGAAUUGGCGGGGGAGCA
rnacentral:rRNA from 1 species